UGUAGACUUUUAGGGCUAAAGAGGUGAAGAGCACAAAGCUUUUUCAUAUCUCUCCAAUAAGAGCUAUAAGGUGCAAAACCCAAAUCUAAACCAUUGUAAGACAAUUUUCUUAGUCCAAGAAAAGAUGGUCUACUUGCAAAUUUAAGGUCGUGAGUUUUCAACACUUGUUCUGCCAUUUUUGCUGAGGAAACAACUAAGGUUGGUAUGUAUCCAAGUUUCAAAGACAUGAUAGGUCCAUAGUGUUUGGAGAGUUGCCAUAAGGAGUGAUGUGGGGAUGAAGGGUCAAGCUGGUGUAAAUUUCCAAUUAGAGGAAGUGGUUUUGGACCUGGUGGAGUUGAUGAUGCUCUUCUAGUAUUCUUUAUUUUGUGGAUGUGUAUAAUGAAUAGAAUUAAGAUUGGCAAGAGAGAAAGAAGCACAAGAUCAAUCUCCAUGACUCUCAAAAUGAUUCUACAAAGACUCUCAAAAAUAUAAAGAAAACAAGUGUAGGCAUGGGGGCCCAUUGUGAGCAUAAUGAGAAUGAAAGAUUCCAUUGUCAUAAAUUUUUACACGUAACGUAACACACACCUUUAAUAGAAAAAUAGACACCUCAAUUUCGCUCGUGUUCGGGUCGUACUCUCGAUCGCUUGUUUUACCGAGUAACAUCUGAUUGAGACGUAAUUUCGGAUCAACUUUUUUCAGUCAAGUGAACAAUUUUAAGAUGUCUAUUGAACAACCAUCACUUAACGAUCGAUUGUCUCUUACGUUUCAUUCACCCAUCUUUAUUAUUUCUCUUCUCUUUCUAGCAAACAUCAAUGAAUCAAUGAUAUAUCUUACCUUCAGUGUUGUUCAAAUUUCACCAUGCAAUAAUGCUGCUAUUUGACAACAUUGUUUACGUAUAAAUCUCUGUGGUUUGACCAUCUUUCGGUUUGUCAAUCUCCCUUAAUGUUCUUACGACAAUUUUUUGUUGCCUCCUAGCCUUUAUCACCAGUUUUCAUCACUAGGUUUGGUCAUAUUAUCAUUGAUAUUUUAAACUUGUUUUUAAUGUAUGGUCCACGGUGGACCAUUUAUGAACACAUUGUCAUAUUAGAAUUUGCCAUCCCCCCAUACUGUGGCUUAAACAACAAACACGUUUUUAUCACCCAUGCUUCUCAAAUCCUACUGGAAACUUCCGGUAGCGCUUUUUACAUGUUUUGAGUGAUGCAGGGGGGACAUGAUUUCCAUGUUUAUAUUUAGUUUGCCUAAAAUAGUUUAAAUAUACCCGAGAGCGUUUAAAUGAGAUGGAACAAGUCUUUCUAGCUUAACCAAGAUUAUGGGUUCAAAUCCAGCCUUGGACAUGCAACAGUCUGAAAACUCGUAGGAGAGCUUGCCACCUAUUUACCCGAUUUAAAAAAAAAAAAAGGUUUAAAUAUCUAUUUGCCCCCUUACCCUUACUUUAUUUUAAAAGUUUAAUUUGGUUUUCAACUUUAAAACGGGUAAAUCGGUCUCUUAAUUUAUUUUAAAAAGUUAAGUUUUCUUUAACUUAAAAUUGAUCAAUUUGAUAAUUUCAAAACGAGUCAAUUCAGUUUCGGGUAAACAACCAUUUUGGUCUUUCACCUUGCACCUCACUGUUAAUAGUCGACUCAGAUACAAUGUAAAAUAGUCCCUCAAUGUUUAUAUCCAUUAGCCAGUUUAAUCAUUGACGUUAAAAUUGGCCGUUAAAUGCUGACAAGGAUGUGUAACAUGGAUCUGGAGACCAAAAUGAAAAUAAACUGUUUGAAAUUAACACAAAUAAAUCUCUAAAUUCUGAAUUCCCACCAUCUUUUGUUACUUAAUGUUGUCCAUUAUUUUUACUCAAACUUGGAGCUAAUUAAGAGACAUGGUCUGGUCAUGAUUUUGAUUUUCUGAGAUUUUGAAAUUGUGCAGAGAAUGAGAAAUGAAACAGAACAGACUCAAAGUGUGGAAAUGUGUUUUUUUUAGGUAGUAGAGUUGUAGUUGGUUAUGUUCUAUGUCGUGUUUUCUUUGAUCUUGUUGUUUCAGAUUUUUUUCUAAGAAAAACUAUUUUAAAAAAAAUAUCAUUUUUGUCAUUUUUAAGUGUUUGUUUAAGAUUUUUGAAAAAAUUAUUUUAGCUCUAAAUUGAAAAGUUAUUAGGAUUAACUUUUCUCAAAAUCUAUUUUUUUCCAAAAACAAGAAGGCAGGACAUUUACAAGUUAAAACUCAUUUUUUUUAAAGUGAUUUUUUUUUUGGCAAGUUUUAAAAGUGAUUUUUAUGGAUAGUAAACAAACAAAAAUAUCUUCAGAUUUUUAUAAAACCUAUAAAAAAAUCUCUAAAUCCUUUUAAUAUAAAAUGUAUUUUUUUUAAGCCGAAACAAACCUUUUUUUUUUAUAUAUAUACAUAUACAGUGAGUUCUAGUCAAUAAACUACUUGACAAAAAAUAAAGAUGGGAACCGUGAAAUAUUCUUUUGCUUUCUUCCUUUUCUGUAAUUGGAUCUCUUUGCUUUGUUAUUCUCUUUGGGUUUCACAUGCUCCUUUUGUAACCUAUCUUUCCAUUCUGCUUCUUCAUUUAGGGAUUAUGUGUGUUAAUUUGGUAUUGGUUUGGAAUUUGGGAGUAUGCUCCUCCUUCGAUGAUCUCUGGUGUCAAUUUACGUGGACUAAUUUAUCUUUUUCAAAAAAAAUAAAAAAUAGUUCACUUUUAUUUUGGUCCUUAGAUCCAUGUCACAUAUCCUUGACUGUCAAAUUUAAACGUCAAGGAUUAAAUUGGUUAACAGAAGUAUACAUCCAAAAACUAUUUUACAUUUUAUCCUGAGUCAAUGACCAUAAUGACAAUGAGAUAUUAAAUCAGAGAUCAAAAUGGUUGUUUCCUCCAUUUAUUUUCUUAACUCAACUUGGUUUCUUAAUAAAUGGAUAUCAUAAUAUAUUUUCGAGUAAACCAUCAAACUAUUCAUUGGCUUAAUAGAAAACUAUCGAACAUAUCCAUGAAAUUAUGAAUAUCUUAAAAACGUCCCCAACUCUAUUAAAUAGUCAAAUUGAUUUCUAUAUAUUAUAAAUUAUCAAUUAGGUCCUUAUAUUUUAAACCCUUAUUAUCAAUUUGGUCCAAGUAUUUAACCACUUGCUCUUAAUUUAGUUCCCUCUAACUCAAAAAUGAGUAAAAUUUAAUAGAGUCAAAUACUUUUAAAUUAUUUACAAUUUUAAGGACCUAUUUGAUAGCAUCCUAUAUUGGGUCAAAGUUUGACCCAAUUUGAUCAUAAUGUACAAAGUGGAUUUUGGUUGUGCAUAAUAGAGAUGAAAAAGAUUUCAAUGACACAAAUUUCUCCACUUAAAGCAAAUCUUUAUUUCAUAACAGAAAUAAUUGUCAAUACUCAAUACUAGUACAAUAAACUAUGGUUUUCUUUUCUUAGGAACAAGGUAAAGAUCAAUUUUCUUAUGCAUAGUUAUUCCUGGUUUAACUUGUGUAUCCAACACUUGUUCCUUGUCAAAACCAUGAGGCAGCUUCCAGUCAAAAGAGUGAAGAAGAUUAGCAAGUGUAAGCUCAACAGUGACCACUCCCAUGUUCAUUGCAGGACACAUUCUUCUUCCACUUCCAAAUGGAAUCAACUCAAAAUUCUUCCCUUUAAAAUCCACUGAACUUAUAAUGAACCUUUCAGGAUAAAACUCUUCAGGGUCAUUCCAAUUCUCAGGAUCCCUUGCUAUGGCCCAUGCAUUAACAUAGACUAGAGUUUUUGGUUUAAUCUCAUAACCAUCUAUGUUACAACUUUCUAUUGUUUCUCUUGGCAAUAGUAAUGGUGAUGGAGGGAAUAAUCUUAAUGUCUCUUUCACUACUGAUUUAAGAUAAGGAAGCUUUUCAAUAUCAUCUUCAUUUAUAAAAUCUUUGUCUUCAUAUAAGUUUCUGAUUUCCAUUUGAACCUUGUUCAUCACUCUUGGAUUGUUCAUCAAUGCUGUCAUAGCCCAAACCACUGCUGCUGAACUUGUGUCUGUUCCUGCAAUAAAGAUGUUCUGCAUACAUAAUAUGCAUGUGUUUAAUUAAAUGCAUAAACUUUUAUUUAUGUCAUCUUGUUUUUUGGUACGUUAUGCAUUAUAUCAUCUCAUUUAACAAAAUAAAAGAUGAAUUGAAAUUGAGUAUAUGUGAUUCAUUAUAUCAUCAUCUUUCCUACCCAUUUUUUCCACAUACAAAACAAUAGAAACUCACACACAUACAAAUGCGAGGUCCUAAAUUUCAAUAAGAGUGAAAGUGUCCAUACUUACUACAUCGACAUUGUCAACUGAACCAACGGUCACAAUGACAUGACUUAUCUCUUCUAAGAACUCAAAUUAUUAUUUCUCAAAUCUCUUAAAUUAAUGGCCCUACAUAGGGGUUUAUGAAUAGACUAGACCGAGUUAGAAUUUACUAUGUCUAAACUUGACUUAGUCAAAAAGGUUCAAGAUUUAGACCUAACCUACAACGUGCAAUAGGCUUAAUUAGUAUAUGAUCUUUUUAAAAGCUUGAUAUGAUAUCAUAGCCUACUUAAAAACUAUUUAAUAUGAAUGUAUUUAAGUAAGUAAUAUGAUCUAUUUUUAUAUAGACUAAGAAGCUAAUAUAACACCCCCUCUUUUAAAAAAAAAAAAAAAAACUAAUAUACCACGUCUCUAAGAAAAAAGAGAACAAACUAAUAUACCACUAAUAUUGAGCUCCAUUGUGAUAUUUAGCAUGGCAUUUGAGGGAUUUAACUAUAUAUGAUAUCAUAUUUCAAUUCUACUUUACAAUAAUAUAAUUUCCUUUUUAAAAACUAAUGUAGACUUUUUUGUAGACUUAUAAGCUCAUAUUAUUGAAAAUAUUAACAAAUUAAAAUUUAAACCAAAUUACAUAAUCUAUCAUAAUAUUAGUAUUUCAUUCAUUUUUUUUAACUAGAUUAGUCUAAUACGCCUAAAAUGUCUUUUUAUGAUCCAAUAGACUAGAUCAAGUUAGAAUUUACGAUGUUUAAACUUGACUUAGUCAAAAAGGUUCAAGAUUUAGACCUAGCCUACAACGUGCAAUAGACUUAAUUAAUAUACGAUCUUUUAAAAUGUUUGAUAUGAUAUGAUAGUCUACUUAAAAGCUAUUUAAUAAGAACGUAUUUAAAUAAGUAAUAUGAUAUAUUUUUAUAUAGACUAAGAAGCUAAUAUAACACUCCUUCUUUAAAAAAAAAAAAACCAAUAUACCAUUUCUCUAAAAAAAAAUAGAAAAAGAAGAAGCUAAUAUACCACUAAUAUUAAGCUUCAUUUUGAUAUUUAGCAUGACAUUUUAGAGAUCUGACUAUAUAUGAUAUGAUAUCAUAUUUCAAUUCUACUUUACAAUAAUACAAUUAAAUAUGUGAAAAACUAAUGUAGACUUAUAAGCUCAUAUUAGUGAAAAUGUUAACAAAAUUAAAAUUUAAACCAAAUUACAUAAUCUAUUAUAAUAUUAGUAAUAAAGAAUAUCAUUCAUUUUCUUAACUAGGUUAGUAUGGAGUUCAUGUAUGCUCAAACAUACAUGAUCUCGUUAGUUUGAUAUGCCUAAAAUGUUUUUUUUUUAUGAUCCUUAGUCUACCUUUUUAGCUAAUCAAAUUUCUAGAAAAUCUUAGUCUUCUCUAAUUUUUUCUUUUGCCUAAUGCAAGAUAGACCCUAGACUUCUGUCGGCCGAUCUAACUUAUUCUCAUCUUUAACUUUACAAGAGCGCAAAAUGAUAUCAAUCGGACUUAGGUCUAAUGGUUAUGGCAAACUAAAGUUCGAAUUUUAGAACGAUGUCCAUAUUUAAUGCUAACGAACAAGAUUAACUUGGGUGGAGCAAACUUGUGGGAAACAAAAAUAAACACAGAAUCAAAGGUGAAGAUUUCAAUAAAAUAAGGACGAGUCCAUACCAUAAGCACAGCUUUGAUGUGGUCGAGAGUGAGAUCAAAAGAGAGUGAAUGAUCAUUCAUCAUUUGUAAUAAGAUAUCAAUAAUAUCAUCUACUUCUUGUUCCUUAGUUUUAGGCCUUGCUGAAUAAUCCAUGUGGUCAUCAAUAACUCUUUGGUAUAUCAAAUCCAACUCCUUGAACGUUUUAUCAAGCCUCCCAAGUGUUCCUUUGACUCUAUCAAUCCAACCAAACAAUGGAAAAUUAUCUGAAAAGUAAAAUUCAGCCAACAAAGCUUGAGCUUCAUUAAGCAAAACUUGCAAUCUACUUCUCCUUUGUCCACUUCCCAAUUCAACUCCUUCUUCAUAAUCACAAACAUAUGUUUUCCCAAAAGCUAUCUUACAUAUAAUUGUAUUUGUGAGAGACAUCAAUAUUUCACUCAAGUUCGCACCUUUUUCAUCACCACCAUAUUGCGACAACUUUUGAAUCAAUUGGGCCACUUCAUUUUCUCUAACGGGCCUAAAAGAAUGGGCACGUUGAGAGCUAAAGAGGUGAUGAACACAAAGUUUUCUCAUCUCUCUCCAAUAAGGACUAUAAGGUGCACAAGCCAGAUCUAAACCAUUGUAAGACAAUUUUCUAAAUCCAAGAAAAGAUGGUCUACUUGCAAAUUUAAGGUCGUGAGUUUUCAACACUUGUUCUGCCAUUUUUGCUGAGGAAACAACUAAGGUUGGUAUGUAACCAAGUUUCAAAGACAUGAUAGGUCCAUAGUGUUUGGAAAGUUGCCAUAGGGAGUGAUGUGGGGAUGAAGGGUCAAGUUGGUGUAGAUUUCCAAUUAGAGGAAAUGGUUUUGGACCUGGUGGAGUUGAUGAUGCUCUUCUAGUACUCUUUGUUUUGUGUAUGUGGAUAAUUAAUAUAAUAAGGAUUGGUAAUAGAUAAACAAGGAAUAGAACUUCCAUGAUGAAACCUUACAAAUUGGAUAUAUAUUUGUAUCUUCAAAAUUAAUAAUAUGUUAGUCAUAGUAAGCACAACGUAUUUAGAGGCUUAAAACGAACAUGAAAAUGAGGUAUUUUAUAUGGAAAAAAAUACAUUAAAUGUCAUCAAUUAAAUUUGAAAUUGCAACUCCAAGCUACAUCAAUCAACAGCCGCACCUAAUAAGCUAAGCUACGUGGAUAUCAAGUAAAGUAUCAAUUUAAUAGUGCUUUUCUGUUUUGAGGCUAAAGACCUUCAGAAAAAUAUUCUUUUUUUAGGCCUAAAUUAAAGGUGGUAUUUACUAUGCACACUACACAAAUUUGUGCACCAUGCACAAAUUUAUGUAUUGAUGCCAGUCUGUUAGAAACCUGCUGAAUUAAAAAAACAAAAAAAUUUAAAAAAUAUUUUAAUUGCAAAUAAUGGUUAGCUGCUAACUCACCUCUCGUUUGUGGUGAAAGAGAAAUACACCUCCUUUCAAUUCAUUUGUUUCACUCAACAAUGCAAGAUUCAAGUUCUAUGAAAUUUUCUUAUCUGGAUCUAUUUUCAGCUAUACACUCAAAGCUAGGUUUGAAACAAAACUCUAUGAAAUUCACCCAAAAUUUUCUGCUGGAGUUUCAAGCUUUAUAUUCAGUAACACUCAAAGGCCAAAGCUCUACGAGAUUUUCUACUUCAAUAAUACUCAAUAGCCGCAAAUUCGUCAUGAAUAUGUCGUACUCUUAACAACUUCAAUGCGCCGUUCUGCCGGUAGCGUCAUCGUAUAAAUAUCGCGCAGAUCUAAUUCUCAAAACUCAAAACCAAUUGAAGUUGCUAAACGCAUCAUCAAGAAGCUUCAAAAGAUCCAUUGAUUUUGCUUCAAUCAUAAUCAAUCGAUUAAUUCUGUGUGUGAACUUAACAAACUAUAUUCUUUUUUUAUUUUUAUUUUAAAUAUGUUUUGGAUUUGGACAAAGGUUUGAAGUUUUUUCUUUGUAUGAUUUAUGGGUUUUAAUUUUUUGAAUAAAAUGUUUGUGUUUCUGGGCAACAAGUUCAUCUUCAUGAAGAUGAAAAAGUAAACUAAGUUAAUGAAAAUGUUUCUGGGCAAAACAUCGGCACACAUUCUAACAUUAGAACCCAACAAAAAUAUUAUAAAUUAAUGUUAUUGUGGGGUAAUGUCUCGGUUUCUGUGUUUAAAGGAAAAAGAAUCUAGCAGGUUGCCAGUCAAACAUCCUGACCGUCUAAUUAGAUUUAAUAUAUAUCAAUGGCUGGUAUUGAUUCAUGACAAUCUUUGUGAAUCAUGCACAAAUUUGUGCAGUGUGCAUAGUAAAUGCCACCUAAAUUAAAAGGUUUAGAUCACCUUAUGUUUGGAUUCAUCUUAAUUUUAACCGGUGCAUAUUCAUAUGUUUUUUCACGUGUGUUAGUGCGUCUCGUUGUAGAAUCACAUAAGAAAGUUAAAAAAAAUAAAUUUGGAAAAAAUAGUUUUAAUUCAUGAUUUUAUUAAAUUCAACGAUUAAGAAUUUUCACAUCCAUAAAAAAUCAAGUCUACUCAAAAUCAAUUUUAUUUAUCAAUAAGAUUUUGCCAUUUAUUCAAACACAAGAAGUGUUUUCAAGUCUAUUGAACUUUGUUUUUUCUGUCGGAAUCAUUUUAUAACGCACAAAAAUCUAAAUGUAAUCGUGAGUGUAUAAUUAUUUGUGCGAUAAUGGAAACCAAAAAUACCAAUGACACACUCGUUUAGAAAUUCCUUCAAAAAUUGUACCCAGAACAAAUUACUUAAAAAAAAAAAAAUCAUUUUUUAGAAAUAGUCAAUAAUAUAAUUAUUUGUUAGGUUAAUAAAUUUUCACCUUUAUAAACCUUAAAUCAAGCGUACCCGUGAGCUUAACUUAGUUGACAAUGACAGUACAUAAUAUUUUUGCAGAGUAAAGGUUCGAACCCCAAACAUCUCACUUAUUCAUCUUAAAGUUGAAUUUCUAACUGCUAGAUGACUUGACAAAAGAAAAUCUCAAAUGAGACAAACUAUCAAACCUAAUAAUAUUCAUAGCUCAUAUAUCCAAAUUCUACGUGAACAAAUAAACAAUAUAUUAAUUUCUUCCUAUUUAAAACAAAUAAAUAAAUAAAUACUAUAACUCUUUCCUCCGACGACGACGACGAUUUUAUUUUUGGAUUCAAUCUCCUUGACGAUCUUUUCGUUAAAAUCAUUUUAACUUUUGUGCAGUCUACUAUAAAAAUGCUUCACGAUCUUUAAUUUGGGUUUUCGAUUAACUAAUAAAGAUUAAAUCAUUAUUAAAGAUAUAUUAAAUUCCAAACCAUACAAUAUCAAAAUUUGCGAGAAAAAAAAUUUGAAUUUGAAUUUUUUUUUUUUGGUGAAAGAUCUUUGAAUUUUAUUGUAUGAAUUAAAAACAAAUGUUUAUAUAUAUAUAUGGUGGUGUUGGCUUGAGAAUCUGGAUAACGUUCUUCACAAAGUCACAGUUCAAUUCUCCUAAUGUUAAUUUUGGUGGACUAAUUUAACUUAAAAAAAACGUUUGUAUAUAUGUAUUGAUGGAAAACAAAUUAUUUUUUUGGUACAAGGAAAACAAUAUUUAAUCCUUAAUAAAAUGGAUGAAUUGAUCAAUAUACCAAAUAUAAUAUCUUAAAUUUAUUCAUAUAUUUGGUAUAGAUGAAAGAGAGGAUAGAUAAGAUGCAAAAGAAUAAAGUUUUUCUAAUUUGAUUCGAGGAUAACUGGAUAAGAGAGACAAAAAAAAAAUGGGUACCACUAUUCUUAUAAUCUUCCCUCCCGUGACGAAAUAUGAGAGAAAAUGACUUGUGUGGAAAAAAUCUUAUGUGGUAGUCACUUAUCUCACCCUAUAUAUAUAUAUAUAUAUAUAUAUAUAUAUAUCACUUAUUGUAUGUUUGGAUCACUCUUUAUACACCUUAGAACAUUUUUUUACACGUAAUGUAACUCACAACUUUAAAUUAACUUUCUGCGUAAAUAAUCUUAAUGGUAGUUAGUGUAGUUACUUUCUACGCAAGUAAUCUUAAUGAAAGGAGAUUUUUUUUUUGUUCUUCAGUUUUAUGUCUUUCAAUAUUCUCGCACAAGCUGGAGCAUGAUAGAUGUUUAUCAUGCCCAACUUGGACACAAAAGAAUGAAACUUGGGUGAUGCUAGCUGUUUAGUGAGGAAACGUGCAAUUUUCUCAUUUGUUGAGAUUGGUAGUAAUCAAAGUAUUCUUUUUUGAAUAUUUAUGCUAACCAAGCGACAAUCGAUUUUUAAAUGCUCAGUUCUUUCAUGGAACACUGAAUUUGAAGCUAUAUGUAUUGCACUCUGACUUUCACAAUAGAGAACCGGUGGUCGUGCACAAGCAACAUCAAAUCAUGCAACAAGUAUAAAAGUCAUUGUAGCUCACAUGUGACUAAUGAUAAUGCUCUAUAUUUUGCUUCCGAAGAAAAGAGAGAUAUAGUUUGAUGUUUCUUAGCACGCCAAGAGAUCAAUGAUGAUCCUAAGAAGAAUAUAAGUAAGCAUUUUUUGUAUGCGAAACAGAUAUCUUCCGCAGCUCGUGUACAAUUGUAGAUAGUAAACUCUUGAGUCGGAUAAAAUCACAAUGGGUACAUAACUCCCCCAAAUACAAGUUAACAUUAUAAGAUGAAAACAUAUUACAAGUCUCUUUUAAUCACUUCCCAAAUUACAAAUGAAACCAUUAUCAAUUGAUCUAGAAAUAAUACAAACUUUGAGGCAUGCAAAUAACAUAACUAAUUGUCAAUAGUACAUAUAUCCUAUGGUUUUCUUUUCCUAGGAAAAAGGCAAAGAUCAAUUUUCUUAUGCAUAGUUAUUCCUGGUUUCACUUUUGUAUCCAACACUUGUUCCUUGUCAAAACCAUGAGGCAACUUCCAAUCAAAAGAGUGAAGAAGAUUAGCAAGUGUAAGCUCAACAGUGACCACUCCCAUGUUCAUUGCAGGACACAUUCUUCUUCCACUUCCAAAUGGAAUUAGCUCAAAAUUUUUCCCUUUAAAGUCCACUGAACUCAUAAUGAACCUUUCAGGAUAAAACUCUUCAGGGUCUUUCCAAUUCUCAGGAUCCCUUCCUAUGGCCCAUGCAUUAACAUACACUAAAGUUUUUGGUUUAAUCUCAUAACCAUCUAUGUUACAAUUUUCUAUUGUUUCUCUUGGUACUAGUAAUGGUGAUGGUGGAAAUAAUCUCAUUGUCUCUUUCACCACUGCUUUAAGAUAAGGUAGCUUUUCAAUAUCAUCUUCAUUUAUAAAAUAUUUGUCUUCAUAUAAGUUUCUGAUUUCCAUUUGAACCUUGUUCAUCACUCUAGGAUUGUUCAUCAAUGUUGUCAUAGCCCAAACCACUAUUGCUGAACUUGUGUCUGUUCCUGCUAUAAAAAUGUUCUGCAUAUAUAAUAUGCAUGUCGUUAAUUAACCACAUAAACUUAAAUAUUAAUCACAAUAUUAUCUUGUUUAAUGAAAUAGAAGAUGAAGAAGGAUGAAUUAAAAUUAUCCAUAAAUUUUUCAAUUAUUUUCUAAUUGAGUAUUACAAAUAUACAACAAAGCAUAUAAAGAUAGUUUUGCUUGGUGAUGACACUUUGUCAUUACAUAAUUUUUAGUGUAAAGGCAUGAUAUUUUGAGUUCACAAGUAAGCUUAAACAACAAGAAAAACUGAAGAAAGUGAUGAAAGUGAAAUCGUGACACGGUUGCUGAAAAACGCGUCACGAUUUAGAGCACAGAAUGAGGUGCAUUCGACAUUGCUGGAAUCGGGACAAGAUAGCAUAAACAUGUCACGAUUUGAAGAGUAAAAAUCUGACCCAUGGGCUUAGUAAGAAGGAAUCGGGACACGAUUAGGCACGUCCUUGUGCCUAUUCAAGCUUAAGCUAGUGCAGAAAAUAAGGGUUGCGAAUUAUGGAGAGAGAAAGUGCAAUUUGCAGACCUGAAGACUGAAGAAAGGGGCGAUUUCCUUCGUUCUUUACUAGUUUAUGUAUGUUUUAAUUCUUUCAUUGAUUAUGCUAUUUGUAAACUCAAUUAUGAGUAGUUAAAUCUCUUAGAGAUUAGGUGUGAGAUGAUUCUGAUGUAACCCUAAUUUAAACAUGUUGAUGUGAAACUCUAUUUCUUAUGAAUAUCAAUCUAGUUUUAUUCAAUUCAAUUGUUCUUAGUGCUUUUUAUAUGCUGAUCACAUAUAUACAUGAAUUCGUGAGAAUGAAUGACUAUUGAUCAUAACUUUCAACUUAGACCUGAUUGAAUUGUUCAAAUAAACAGGGUCAGUCUAGGAAUAGAUAAUCGUUUAUUUGUAAUAAGAGGUUAACGUUCUUAAAACCUUCAAAGAAUAUUAGAUCACCUAAGGAAUUAUGGACUGUAAUCUGAGAAGAGGGUCCUAAGUCAAGGUAUUGAUUAGGGUUAUUUUAGUUAAUCAUCGUGAAACUAGAGAAAUAUUCAUAGGAAGUAGGUGCAGUGUACCAAUUAUGGGAAUUUAGAGAAUUCGAAAGACCUAGUCUAAUCUCUCUCUAUCUUUUCUAAACAACUUUAUUUUCUGAUAUUUACUUUUUAUGCACAACAAACCUACCACCUCGGGUACUAAAAUAAAUUUACACAUCCUAUUUCAUAACACUAUUGUUUAAUUGAGAUUAACACGGUCCUUGUAGAAACAAACUUUAUUAUAUUACUUUGAUAGUUUUUAGUACACUUGCUAAAUUUCUAUCACUUGGUAUCGAUAGCCAACCACCUAAGAAUUUACCAAAACAUAAUACUAAUAAGCUAAUCAACUAUUUUUGAAGUAUUCUAUUUUUGAAACAUGUCGUUCAUCCUUGUGCAAGAAAUCAAAGGAGGGUUAAAAAAACCUAAAUUUCAUGGAUGAUUUAGUUAAAAAAUUUAGGAACAAAAAUACCAAUAAGGAUGAGUCAAUACCAUAAGCACAGCUUUGAUGUGGUCAAGAGUGAGAUCAAAAGAGAGUGAGUGAUCAUUCAUCAUCUGCAAUAAGAUAUCAAUAAUAUCAUCUACUUCUUGUUCCUUAGUUUUAGGCCUUGCUGAAUUAUCCAUGUGGUCAUCAAUAACUCUUUGGUAUAUCAAAUCCAACUCCUUGAAUGUUUUAUCAAGCCUCCCAAGAGUUCCUUUGACUCUAUCAAUCCAACCCAACAAUGGAAAAUUAUCUGAAAAGUAAAAUUCAGCCAACAAAGCUUGAGCUUCAUUAAGCAAAACUUGCAAUCUACUUCUCUUUUGUCCACUUCCCAAUUCAACUUCUUCUUCAUAAUCACAAACAUAUGUUUUUCCAAAAGCUAUCUUACAUAUAAUUGUAUUUGUGAGAGACAUCAAUAUUUCACUCAAGUUCGCACCUUUUUCAUCACCACCAUAUUGCGACAACUUUUGAAUCAAUUGGGCCACUUCAUUUUCUCUAACGGGCCUAAAAGAAUGGACACGUUGAGAGCUAAAGAGAUGUUGAACACAAAGUUUUCUCAUCUCUCUCCAAUAAGGACUAUAAGGUGCAAAAGCAAGAUCUAAACCAUUGUAAGACAAUUUUCUUAGUCCUAGGAAAGAUGGUCUACUUGCAAAUUUAAGGUCAUGGGUUUUCAACACUUGUUCUGCCAUUUUUGCUGAGGAAACAAUUAAGGUUGGUAUGUAACCAAGUUGCAAAGACAUGAUAGGUCCAUAGUGUUUGGAAAGUUUCCAUAAGGAGUGAUGUGGGGAUGAAGGGUCAAGCUGGUGUAGAUUUCCAAUUAGAGGAAGUGGUUUUGGACCUGGUGG
rnacentral:lncRNA from 1 species